rnacentral:rRNA from 1 species
GAGUUUGAUCAUGGCUCAGAACGUACGCUGGCGGCACGCCUAACACAUGCAAGUCGAACGAAGUAGCAAUACUUAGUGGCAGACGGGUGAGUAACAUGUAGGUAUCUGCCCUUUGGCCUGGAAUAACACGAGGAAACUUGUGCUAAUACCGGAUAAGUCUUUACGGAGAAAGCUUUAUGCACCAUUGGAUGAGCCUGCACUUGAUUAGUUUGUUGGUGGGGUAAUGGCCUACCAAGACUGUGAUCAAUAGCUGAUUUGAGAGGAUGAUCAGCCACAUUGGGACUGAGACACGGCCCAAACUCCUACGGGAGGCAGCAGUGGGGAAUCUUGCACAAUGGAGGGAACUCUGAUGCAGCGAUGCCGCGUGAGUGAAGAAGGCCCUUGGGUUGUAGAGCUCUUUCGUCGGGGAAGAAAAUGACUGUACCCGAAUAAGAAGGUCCGGCUAACUUCGUGCCAGCAGCCGCGGUAAUACGAAGGGACCUAGCGUAGUUCGGAAUUACUGGGCUUAAAGAGUUCGUAGGUGGUUGAAAAAGUUAGUGGUGAAAUCCCAGAGCUUAACUCUGGAACUGCCAUUAAAACUUUUCAGCUAGAGUAUGAUAGAGGAAAGCAGAAUUUCUAGUGUAGAGGUGAAAUUCGUAGAUAUUAGAAAGAAUACCAAUUGCGAAGGCAGCUUUCUGGAUCAUUACUGACACUGAGGAACGAAAGCAUGGGUAGCGAAGAGGAUUAGAUACCCUCGUAGUCCAUGCCGUAAACGAUGCGUGUUAGACGUUGGAAAUUUAUUUUCAGUGUCGCAGGGAAACCGAUAAACACACCGCCUGGGGAGUACGACCGCAAGGUUAAAACUCAAAUGAAUUGACGGGGACCCGCACAAGUAGUGGAGCAUGUGGUUUAAUUCGAAGAUACGCGCAGAACCUUACCAACACUUGACAUGUUUGUCGCGACUCUAAGAGAUUAGAGUUUUCGGUUCGGCCGGACGAAACACAGGUGCUGCAUGGCUGUCGUCAGCUCGUGUCGUGAGAUGUUGGGUUAAGUCCCGCAACGAGCGCAGCCCUCACUUUUAGUUGCCAUCAUUAAGUUGGGCACUCUGAAAGAACUGCCAGUGAUAAGCUGGAGGAAGGUGGGGAUGACGUCAAGUCCUCAUGGCCCUUACGUGUUGGGCUACACACGUGCUACAAUGGUAUCUACAACAGGAAGCAAGACUGCGAAGUUAAGCAAAUCCCUAAAAGAUACCUCAGUUCGGAUUGCACUCUGCAACUCGAGUGCAUGAAGCUGGAAUUACUAGUAAUCGUGGAUCAGCGUGCCACGGUGAAUGCGUUCCCGGGUCUUGUACACACCGCCCGUCACACCAUGGGAGUUGGUUCUACCUUAAGGCAAGGUUUUAAACCCUUGACCACGGUAUAGUCAGCGACUGGGGUGAAGUCGUAGCAAGGUAACC